rnacentral:rRNA from 1 species
AGUGAACGCUGGCGGUAGGCCUAACACAUGCAAGUCGAACGGCAGCACAGGAGAGCUUGCUCUCUGGGUGGCGAGUGGCGGACGGGUGAGGAAUACAUCGGAAUCUACUCUGUCGUGGGGGAUAACGUAGGGAAACUUACGCUAAUACCGCAUACGACCUACGGGUGAAAGCAGGGGACCUUCGGGCCUUGCGCGAUUGAAUGAGCCGAUGUCGGAUUAGCUAGUUGGCGGGGUAAAGGACCACCAAGGCGACGAUCCGUAGCUGGUCUGAGAGGAUGAUCAGCCACACUGGAACUGAGACACGGUCCAGACUCCUACGGGAGGCAGCAGUGGGGCAUAUUGGACAAUGGGCGCAAGCCUGAUCCAGCCAUACCGCGUGGGUGAAGAAGGCCUUCGGGUUGUAAAGCCCUUUUGUUGGGAAAGAAAUCCAGCUGGCUAAUACCCGGUUGGGAUGACGGUACCCAAAGGAUAAGCACCGGCUAACUUCGUGCCAGCCGCACGCAGUAA